UACGAAGGGCGCAAGCGUUGUUCGGAUUUACUGGGCGUAAAGGGUGUGUAGGCGGUUAUGCAAGUUGGAUGUGAAAGCCCUGGGCUUAACUCAGGAAUAGCAUUCAAGACUGCAUGACUAGAGUAUGGAAGAGGUUGGUGGAAUUCCUAGUGUAGAGGUGAAAUUCGUAGAUAUUAGGAAGAACACCCGUGGCGAAGGCGGCCAACUGGUCCAUAACUGACGCUGAGACACGAAAGCGUGGGGAGCAAACAGG
rnacentral:rRNA from 1 species